GUGCCAGCCGCCGCGGUAAGACGAACCGUACAAACGUUAUUCGGAAUCACUGGGCUUAAAGGGUGCGUAGGCGGCCCGGAAAGUUGGGUGUGAAAUCCCUCGGCUCAACCGAGGAAUUGCGCCCAAAACUGCCGGGCUUGAGGAAGACAGAGGCAAGCGGAACUUAGGGUGGAGCGGUGAAAUGCGUUGAUAUCCUAAGGAACACCGGUAGCGAAGGCGGCUUGCUGGGUCUUUUCUGACGCUGAGGCACGAAAGCUAGGGGAGCGAACGGGAUUAGAAACCCCCGUAGUCC
rnacentral:rRNA from 1 species